rnacentral:lncRNA from 1 species
GGAUCACGGAGGUUUAUUAAUGAGAAUUUCCCCGUUCUACCUCUGGGCUUAGUCUGUGUGAAAAUCUAAGAAAGGCUCAUUAGUUUUUAUAUUAGUCAGGGUUCUCCAGAGAAUCCAAACCAAUAGGAUGUACAUAGGUAAAGAGAUUUAUCUUAAGGAAUUAGCUCAUGUGACUAUGACAAUCGGCAAGCUAAAGACCCAGGAGAGCGGUGGUGUGUUUCCAGUUUGAAUGCCAACAGGCUUGAGAUCAGAAAGAGUGGAUGUUUUAGUCUGAGUCCAAAGGCAGGAAAAAAUCAUGUCCCAUCUUAAGGUAGUUGGGCCACAGUUCCUCCUUACUUGGGGGAGGGUCAGCCUUUUGGUUUUAUUCAGGUCCUCAACAGAUUUCAUGAGGCCCACCUGUAUCAGGAAGGCCAAUAGUCCACUGAUUCAAAUGUUAAUCUCAUCCAGAAGUACCCUCCCAGACACACCCAGCAUAAUGCAUGACCAAAAUGUCUGGGCAUCCUGUGGCUUAGUCAAGUUGACAAGUAAAAUUAACAAUUGCAGUUUUCAUUAUGGAAGGCUAACAUUUCAGCCUAAUUGUUUGGUGAUCAAAGCUGAUGAUUCUGUCUCCAAUCAGCCCUACAGAAUGCUGAUCUUCCCACAUCAGAGUGAAGACAAGUUCCCAGGGUGCAAUGAAUCUUAA